GGUCUUUUAGUAAAAUGGUUAUUACAGUUGCCCUUCACGCAGCCGGUGUCAGUUCGAAUCUGAUAAAGACUA